GAUGAAGAACGCAGUGAAAUGCGAUACGUAAUGUGAAUUGCAGAUUUUAGUGAAUCAUCGAAUCUUUGAACGCACAUUGCGCCCGCCAGUAUUCUGGCGGGCAUGCCUGUUCGAGCGUCAUUUCAACCAUCAAGCCUUCGCUUGUGUUGGGGCCCCGCGGCUGCCGCGGCCCCCUAAAUCCAGUGGCGGGCUCGUCGUCGUACCGAGCGCAGUAGACAUCCUCGCUCCGGGAACCCGACGGGUGCCGGCCGUGAAACCCCCCCCAUCAAGGUUGACCUCGGAUCAGGUAGGAAUACCCGCUGAACUUAAGCAUAUCAAUAAGCGGAGGA
rnacentral:misc_RNA from 1 species